AGCGCGCAGUUAAUUUGGUCUCACUUCACCAGGAACCGGUUUAAACACCUCCAUGAAAGUCUGGGAGAGGCUUCAAACAAAGUGCAGCCUUUUCACAAUGACUUAACUAUAGCCUCACCUGCUGGCUGAUGUCCCGCCAAAGCAUGACUGACGUAACGCGGCAAAUACCCGUAAAGGGCAGUACAGUGGCGCACUGAGUGACGUCAGUUACCGUAAAUUACACCAUUAACGCAACGUGAACUACUCAGUUUGUGGCUUCAGCUGUCAAUAUCAGUAUGAAAAUUGAUUUCUUUUCAUUCGAAAGAAAACUGAGUUACAUAAAGAAAUCUCAGAAGUAUUGUUUUCUUUUUUGAUUCACUAAAUUAAUCAACAACCUGUCUGUUUUUUCAUGUUUUUGUACCAAGCUUGACAAAGCAAAAUACAUUCAACGGUUAUAAAUCAUUGUAAAAUAAACACUGAGCAGCUGUAAUCCGAAAGGCCUAUAAUGUUGCUUCAGAUACAUUAAAAUCUACCGAUAUGGUUAAACCCAAGUCCAUUCAGAAAGCGUCCACUCACUCUGCUGAGCCAGCAUCUGAGUGUUACACUGCCACCUGCUGUAAUAAACGCAGCAUUACAACUUAGCUCAUGCGUUUUUAUUUUUGCCUUGUCACUUCACAUAUUGGAUCUGUAUGAAAAACAUUUCUCACGAGGCCCAUUACAAACAAAACGAAUCCUGCAGAUUUAAUUAAGAUACCAGACAAUAGACAGACAAACAUACUGCACUGCAGAUAUCAUCCACUUCCUGUGUGGCAACUGAACAUAUUUCUUUUAAUAUUUAUUAUUAUUAUUAUUAUUGACCUUUGUCUAAUUAAACACAGGCACUAUUACAAAAUAGGACAGUGGUUCCCAAACUUUUUGGCUUGUGACAUAUUUAAAAUGAAGCAAUCAAGAGACCCCUCAGCUGUUAUGAAAAUGUUAUGCAAAAGGGAUGUUUUUCCCCUUCAUGGAUUUGUCUGAUUUUCAGGUCAAAAAUAACCAUUUACCCCUAUCAUUAAGAAUGGUAUGCAGAAAAGUAAACAAAAUGAAUGUCCAGUUCUUCUUAGUAAUAUUCCAAGUUGAGAGCCACUGGCCUAUUGGAGCAAGUGAGCAUUACUUACUCUAUAUCCAUAUAAUGUAACAUAAUGUGAACUAUACAGGCGAUCCGAUGUGUUCAUUUCAAUCUUAAUGGAAAAAUAGACUCUCGGCACGACAUCUGGUAGCUGCGUCAAAGGGAGGUAGUUUACGGUAAAACGGCGCCCAUUACCAUGUGAUUUCACCGAUGUUUGUAAACAUGCGUCAGCCACAUGUGAUUCAGGCGAUGAGGAAAGACUCUCCGGCUGUCCGCCAAUCGGUGACCGGGGGAGUGUCAGGGGCGGGGUUCCCGUGUUGCGCUAUGGAAAAUCGUUAGGGGGAUACACUGUGAUAAACGUGCGCUCAGAGAUUGAUAACAGAGACAAUGAGGCUGAAACGGGAAUCCGGCGGAGCCACCAUUCAGGAGAGCACUGGGUCCGAGCGGCGCCGGCCGGGAAACGGAUCCGUCGGCACGAGAGGAACAGAGGCUUGGGAUAAACACCUGGAGCAAAUGCAAUUCAGCUGAUACUGGCGGACCCAAACUCGAUGCGGCAGAGAAGUGCUUUUAAGAGGCGAAAGAGGCGUGAGAAUCUCCUGAUGGAUGUGUUUACAGCAGGGGGGCCCAGCAGCACCUGUAGCCCACAUAAACCUUCAGAGAAAACGGUUGUCCAGUGGUGCCAUGGUGCAGUUCUCCAGACUGCUCGUGUUGGAGUCCAGUCUUCUGACCACCUGACCCCCUCUCACCAAGGCUGACCGUUUUCCUCUGGUGUUCAGAGUUUCCAUCAUGUCUAGCACCAUUUGAAAUCGGUUACAAUGUGGAGGGACUAUCAACAAACAUUCUGCGUCAGCUACAUGAUGAAAUUCCUCCAACUACCAGAAGAUGGCAGCCUCACACUACCAACAGCAUUCCAAUGUAAGGAGGACAAGUUAGAAGAGUCCUGGAAACAGUGAAAGACUCACUGAAUGACCCUGUUCUGGUCGGAGACCAGCAAAAGUUUGGAACAAAGCAUAACUUGACGUCAAGGACUGCUUUGGCUUAGGAAUUAGUUUUCUUCUUUUAUCAUGUUGCAGUUACUUAGCCGUGAUGUCUGCUAGUUGCACAGUUAUCUUCAAGGAAUAGUUGAUAAAAAUUGAUUAUCUGGGUAAAUGUUUUAGUAGUCCAGAGGUUGUGUUUCACAUAUAGGUGAUUGCCUAGAUUUAAAUAUGUAAAUGUACAAAAUGCUAGAUUCCACUUAAAUGAACAUGUAUUGUUAAUCGCUAUUUUAGCAUUUCCAAUAAUAAUCUCAUUUAUUAAGUCCUUAGGAAAAUGCUGAAGAAUUAUUAAGAAUUAUUUUGUGUACUAUAGCAAAUAUAAUUUUGUGUUAUACAACUGAUCUUCAAAUUCAAUAUGUUUUUGCUUUCAUUUAUUUUUGCUUCAGCUUAGUUAAUAAAUAUAUAAACAGACGGACGUUUAACAUCAACUACUGUAGGUAUGAGCUGAACCAUUUUUAAUUACAGCCUGUCAUCUCUCCAACUCCCGGGCAGAGACAAUUCUUUUGAGUUUUUGAGCUUUAAAUUAAAUUUAAUUAUAGCACAUAAUCUUUUAAUACAUGCCAGCCUGACAUUCUCAUGCUCCAUUACUUGGAGACUAGAUGGCAAAUAAGGACCAACAUUAGCUUCAAGCAUCAAGCCUGUAGCUGUCAACCCUUUUACCCUCCGCAUGUCAUACAGCUGACAUACGCAUUAAUGCAGUUGUCUUUUUGAAUAAAUUAUUGAAAAUUCUUAAUUAAAAUGUAUGAUUAACCCACACUGUCAAGGCUGUUCACCUUAACAGUGUGGGUUUAGAAGCGUGGUUCUGGAAAACGAUCAGCAGUUUUUACAGAAAAGCAUGAAUCUAAGUAGCUUUAAUACAUAAAGACUCAUUGCAGUGUUUGCAUCAAUAUUAUUAUUAUAGCAUAGUGAGAUUCUAUUUUAAUUUUGUCUCUUGUAUUUACCCUCCUGUCAACCUUAUAAUAGCAGUAUCAUAUAAUAAAUUAGGUGGAGCAUCACUGCAGUACUUGACAGUUUGUCUAAAACUAAUGCGCCUGCAAAGAUGUUAAAUUAUUUUGUUUUAUUUAAGUAAUUGUACUUUAUUCUGUAUUCUUCUGUUUAUGUGCACUUGGACAUAGAAAUACUGUUUGUCUUAAGGGAAGAGACUGGAUUGAAUGCCAAAAUAUGCUAUUUGACAACGUAAGUGUAUGUUUUCUAUAACUCUGUUAUCAUUAAACAUUAUUUUUUUAA